rnacentral:rRNA from 1 species
CCUACGGGUAGCUGCAGUGGGGAAUAUUGGGCAAUGGGCGCGAGCCUGACCCAGCAACGCCGCGUGAAGGAAGACGGCUCUAGGGUUUGAAACUUCCUUUGUCAGGGAAGAGUAGAAGACGGUACCUGACGAAUAAGGCACGGCUAACUACGUGCCAGCAGCCGCGGUAAUACGUAGGUGGCAAGCGUUGUCCGGAUUUACUGGGUGUAAAGGGCGUAUAGGCGGGUUGACAAGGCAGAUGGGAAAUCCUGCGGCUUAACCGCAGAAGUGCCUUUGAAACUGUUGAUCUUGAGUACUGGAGAGGCAGAUGGAAUUCCUAGUGUAGCGGUGAAAUGCGUAGAUAUUAGGAGGAACACCAGUGGCGAAGGCGGUAUGCUGGACAGCAACUGACGGUGAUGCGCGAAAGCGUGGGGAGCGAACAGGAUUAGAUACCCUAGUAGUC